CUGGGGAACUUGAGUGCAGAAGAGGAGAGUGGAAUUCCACGUGUAGCGGUGAAAUGCUAUAGAGAUGUGGAGGAACACCAGUGGCGAAGGCGACUCUCUGGUCUGUAACUGACGCUGAGGAGCGAAAGCGUGGGGAGCGAACAGGAUUAGAUACCCUGGUAGUCCACGCCGUAAACGAUGAGUGCUAAGUGUUAGGGGGUUUCCGCCCCUUAGUGCUGCAGCUAACGCAUUAAGCACUCCGCCUGGGGAGUACGGUCGCAAGACUGAAACUCAAAGGAAUUGACGGGGGCCCGCACAAGCGGUGGAGCAUGUGGUUUAAUUCGAAGCAACGCGAAGAACCUUACCAGGUCUUGACAUCCUCUGACAAUCCUAGAGAUAGGACGUCCCCUUCGGGGGCAGAGUGACAGGUGGUGCAUGGUUGUCGUCAGCUCGUGUCGUGAGAUGUUGGGUUAAGUCCCGCAACGAGCGCAACCCUUGAUCUUAGUUGCCAGCAUUCAGUUGGGCACUCUAAGGUGACUGCCGGUGACAAACCGGAGGAAGGUGGGGAUGACGUCAAAUCAUCAUGCCCCUUAUGACCUGGGCUACACACGUGCUACAAUGGACAGAACAAAGGGCAGCGAAACCGCGAGGUUAAGCCAAUCCCACAAAUCUGUUCUCAGUUCGGAUCGCAGUCUGCAACUCGACUGCGUGAAGCUGGAAUCGCUAGUAAUC
rnacentral:rRNA from 1 species